rnacentral:rRNA from 1 species
GACGAACGCUGGCGGCGUGCCUAAUACAUGCAAGUUGAGCGACGAAGAUUGGUGCUUGCCCCAAUUUGAAGAGCAGCGAACGGGUGAGUAACGCGUGGGGAAUCUGCCUUUGAGCGGGGGACAACAUUUGGAAACGAAUGCUAAUACCGCAUAACAACUUUAAACAUAAGUUUUAAGUUUGAAAGAUGCAAUUGCAUCACUCAAAGAUGAUCCCGCGUUGUAUUAGCUAGUUGGUGAGGUAAAGGCUCACCAAGGCGAUGAUACAUAGCCGACCUGAGAGGGUGAUCGGCCACAUUGGGACUGAGACACGGCCCAAACUCCUACGGGAGGCAGCAGUAGGGAAUCUUCGGCAAUGGACGAAAGUCUGACCGAGCAACGCCGCGUGAGUGAAGAAGGGUUUCGGAUCGUAAAACUCUGUUGGUAGAGAAGAACGUUGGUGAGAGUGGAAAGCUCAUCAAGUGACGGUAACUACCCAGAAAGGGACGGCUAACUACGUG